rnacentral:rRNA from 1 species
UACGGAGGGGGCUAGCGUUGUUCGGAAUCACUGGGCGUAAAGGGCGCGUAGGCGGCUCAUGAAGGCUGUGGUGAAAGUCCGGGGCUCAACCUCGGAUCGGCCGUGGCGACUCGUGGGCUGGAGCACUGUAGAGGCGGGUGGAAUUCCGGGUGUAGCGGUGGAAUGCGUAGAGAUCCGGAAGAACGCCAGUGGCGAAGGCGGCCCGCUGGGCAGUGGCUGACGGCGAGGCGCGACAGCGGUGGGGAG